rnacentral:lncRNA from 1 species
GUGCCAGUUGUUUUCCCGUUGGAGGUCCAUCACAUUGCGGUAGUUCAGACAUCUGUGGGGGCCGUUGUUUCAUCACGGGGAAAAGAUAUUCUUUGUGCACCACGGAGGGCGCGUAGAAAACCCAACAUAAAAUAUAUCAUCUUAUUUGAUUAAUUUAAAUAAUUAUUAUUUUUUAAUAUAUAUUUAAUAUUUAAAAAUUAAUUUUUUUAUUUAAAAAUUAUAUAUAAU